AUUGAACGCUGGCGGCAGGCCUAACACAUGCAAGUCGGACGGUAGCACAGAGGAGCUUGCUCCUCGGGUGACGAGUGGCGGACGGGUGAGUAAUGUCUGGGGAUCUGCCCGAUAGAGGGGGAUAACCACUGGAAACGGUGGCUAAUACGGCAUAACGUCGCAAGACCAAAGAGGGGGACCUUCGGGCCUCUCACUAUCGGAUGAACCCAGAUGGGAUUAGCUAGUAGGCGGGGUAAUGGCCCACCUAGGCGACGAUCCCUAGCUGGUCUGAGAGGAUGACCAGCCACACUGGAACGGAGACACGGGCCAGACUCCUACGGGAGGCAGCAGUGGGGAAUAUUGCACAAUGGGCGCAAGCCUGAUGCAGCCAUGCCGCGUGUAUGAAGAAGGCCUUCGGGUUGUAAAGUACUUUCAGCGGGGAGGAAGGCGAUGUGGUUAAUAACCUUGUCGAUUGACGUUACCCGCAGAAGAAGCACCGGCUAACUCCGUGCCAGCAGCCGCCGUAA
rnacentral:rRNA from 1 species